UGUCUCCAAGACAAAAUAUGUCUUCUUUCUUUUCCACAUUUCAUCCUCCUCCCUCCCUUGUCUCCACGCGUAGCAGACAUGCCUAAGUCUCUCAAGAAAAUUCAGCCACAAGUCCCUCUCCUUGUCUUGCACUAAUUGGCUGACACCUAUCUCCUUCCUCUUAUAUAAAUCAAGCCAAGCACCUCUCUUCCUCAUCUCUUCAAGCAAUCAGUGACCCUACAGAAAGAAAGACCGAAAGAGGGAGACCGAGAGAGCCGAUGGGUGAGCCACCGGUUGGGGCGGACAAGAACGUAGGGCCGAUAGGCCACGACUUGGCCCCGGUGAAGCCACGGGGAGCCCGAUUUCCGAUGUUUUUCUUCAGUACCCAAACUAAGAGCAAACCGUUUUAGGAUGCAGUAAGCCAGAGUCACUUUUUGGUAAUGGCAUGGACCUCGCUAAGAGUAAUAGAUCGUUAGGGGACUAAUGUAACCUUUGUACUAUACAGUAUGUCUCCCUUUUGGAAUUUAGAGCAUUGUACAGAGCUACUCUUAUGUGCAUGUAAAUAAAAUAGAUGGUUAAGAUCUAUAUCUAUUAGAAGUGUGAUUUAUGUAAAUGUAUUUUUAGGCUCAAGUUUGCAUUCCCCUUAUAUCCGAAAACGGGGGCGUGACACGGAUAGUCCAUAUUUUUAUACAGACAUUUUGUACAUGGCUUGUGUCGCAUGUGACACUUAUUUUGUAUAGUCAUUCUUGAUGUAAAUAAUAUUUGAUUUAAGCCUUAAACAGAUAGACAGAUAUAUGGCUCUGAUGUUGUAUUUACACUUUUGAGUUAAUGAAUUUAGUUCCACUGCUAUAA